AACUAAAGAGAUCGUAAUGUCAAAUGACAGUACAAUUGACCAAUCAUAUCUUCCCUCUAAAUGGGUGGGCUUUAUUAUCGAGGACUCUAUGACAAGUUCCGCCCGCUGUCAAACUAAUGGGAAAAGUAGCUAGUUAGCAUCAGAGCUAACGUCAAUUAGAUGAGAACGCUGUCAUUUGAAUAGCGUUAAAUACAAAUUCUGAAGUUCCACAAAUGCAAGAAAACCGUGGAUUUGUGGAUCUUCAAGGAAUUUUGAGAAGCAUUUUAAUAUCAGCAGUUACACCCGAUACAACUGGAAGACAGGAUCGACAAGGUUUGAUCUGAAGGCUUCACUUCUGAGAGUGCUGUGCAUCAAUCACUUGAGAAGUGAAAUCAGAAGAAACAGUUCUACACAAGGAAGCUGACAAAAAUGCUGGGUUCUGAGGGAUUGGGGAUUUACAGCCGUCUGAACAUGAAAAAGAGCGUCUGGUUGAUGUGGUGAGUUGGCAAAGCAAGUAAGAACAUGGGAGGGAGACAUUUAUCAUCCUCGAGACUACAGAGCUGUAACUGCCUGCUUCAAAAUCCUGUGGAGAGUCAGCGGAAAAAAAAGAAAGGGAGAAAAUGCAAUGGUGAUUGCAUUACAAGGAUGACAUCGCUGCGAACCCACUGCUACGGUGUUUAAGUUUAGGGUGCUAAAAAUGUGAAUGCCUCACUUACAAUUUGGUCCAAUAACAAUAUCUAUCUUCUCUUGCUGUUAUUGUCAAAUGUUGGUGCGUUUGUAUAAUAUUUUCCUACAAAAGAUCUGUCAAACCAUGUAAACAUGAGGCUGGCAGCUAUGAUUCAUGGCUCCAUUUCUCCCAAAAUGAUAUCCUGCUUGUCAAAGGCCACGACAAGCACAUGUUUCAGCAUUGCACAUGUUUGCAUGCAACACGUUUCCACGACAAGUCAAUUCAUUUGAAAUUUCAGGCGUGAGAGCUACUGACUUUCUCUUUAGACUUUGACUGUUUGCCAGCUUGCCACUCUCUUUUUAAAAGGUUUGUCUUGUGUCUUUCUUUUGCUUUUUCCAAAACUUGUCUGGCCUGCUGUUUCGCGAUGUCCUGAGAUGAUCUGUUGUUGACUUUGAUUCAUGUGAAGGCAGAGAAGUGAGUGAGUGAUUGAAUCCUGGCCAGUCUGGGGUAGUUUCCCCUCUUAACAAAAAGAACAGAUAAUGUAAAAUGUCUUAAAUCAUACCAAGCCAAGUGUCUAACACAUAAACUGAACUUUGGUCUUUAUGUAACACUCUAUUCUUCCAGUACACAGGUCAGACCUUGAUGAAUUGUUGAAGCUAGGAUAGUACUUUUUCAAGAAUCUCUCUCACCAUCUCACCUCUGCUCUGAUUUUUAAUACUGCCCAAUAUCAUAUCCAUUAGGAUCAAGGAGGCCAGGUCUCCUAUCCAUCUCUCCAAGUGUCUGUUUAAGCUUGUGGCAUUUGAGAAUCCUUUCAAGUUUAAGUUGCAGAGUUGGCACUGUCAAGAACCUGCAGUUCAGAGUGUUUAAGUCUGGGCAUACACACUUCUGUGUUUCAGUUGUUUCAUUGAAAGUCUGGCAGUUACACUGCAAAACGUCUCCUUUUGACCCUAUUACCAAUAACAGGGAUUGUAUUUAAGAGUGUUUAAUUCAUAUUUUAUAUACUAGGAGUCAUUAAAAUAGAUGUUUUGUUUGCCUAUAUAUAUGGUUAUACAGUAUGUCUAAUAAAGAUUAAUUCAAGGUAUGAAAUUAUUUCUGCUAUUUCCAAGUGUAUUGGGUCCAAUCUUAACUGCAAAAAUACAUCCCCUGCACUGGACACCAGAAAAUAUGAACAAUAAUCAUUGCAUAAUAAAUUAUCAAGACAUUCAAAAUGUAUUGAAAUAGCUGUAGGUAUAAACAAUAGGUGUUCAUCCUGUAAAUCACAACAACCUUAACAAUGUAUAAAAAGAGGGCUCAGUGGGAACUAUUAGAACUAUUGUUCAAAAU